UCGUAAAGACGCUCGUAAAUAAUAACAAUUAUUGCGACUCUUCCGUGACGAGAAGCGAUGAAAGGAGUACGAUUCGACGAUUUUCAGGAUAGAAACGUAACUAAGUUUAACUCGAAUUAAGUCCGGCGAAGGAUCGAUCGCGCGCUCUUUGAUCUCUUUCCGCUUACCGUAUCGCGGUAUCAUCUUCGCGUUCGUGCCGUUCGGACAUCGGAGAAAACGUUACGGAAAGAUGUUGCGUUUGAUAAUGACGCAACCCAAAACGAAUUGGUUUUUCCACAAUAUUUGCUUUUAUAUUUCAUAUCGAAACCAUCUUUAGGCGCAGAUCCAUGUUGAGAAGAGCAUCGUGACACCGAAUUCGUUGAAUCUAUAAAUAACGCGUCGUCAUAAGACUCGUCUAAUAAUCGGUAAAUGAUGUAAACUAAAAGGCACAUAGAAAGAAUGAAAGGCGUGUGAAGGAACACGUCGACGUAGCGUAAUUCGACGCACGUGUUUGCAUCGUGUAAGCUCGAUCUUAUCGCGUUACUAAACUAUCAUUGGGUUGUCGUAUACGUGGCGAAUUGCCAUCUGAUUCGAUUAAGAAUUUGCCUGCGAUUCGUUUGUUUAAACAUUUGUUUACUUUAUACGUGAGAAACGUAUGAAAAAGCUUUUCAACGAUCCAUUUGCGUAUGAUUUGUCCGGUUAAAGGCAGCUCCUCUCGCUGAUCGAAUUCCUCCUCAAUGGAAAUUGCGUUUCACUUCGAAGCUCGUGCAAGCCGGUGUUAAUUUAGGCCCUCUAAAGACCGCAACCGCAAGAAGAGUGGCGUCGUCGGAAAGAUCGAGUAACGUUUACGAUGAAUGUCGAGCUUUUACGACACGUCGAGUCGACUUAAAAAGGACGAAACGGACUCCCAGCCUUUCCCAGGAAGAGACGAAAUAUCUAAUGACACUCUUGACGCGUUCGCGAUUAACUCUUAUUUUAUACUAUUCUGUUUGUAUUCGAUAUUCGAAAAGGAAAGAAAAAAGGGAAAAAAAAAGUUCCUUGCCGGUCGUGAAAGAUGAUCCCUCGUGAGAGAUGAUCAAUAUAGUUAUGAAGCGAAACGACGGGUAAAGAUCUAGAUGAGGGCAAGCAGGACUAACAACGAUCGUUCAGGAACACAACAAACGGAACAGGAGAGAUCUCCUUCAAAACGUUUCAUCUAAACAUUUCCCCGUCGCCUCGUCACUUUGAUAUACCAAUGAACGUUGCCUAUUGGUUACUCGUAAUCGAAAGUAAUAUAAGUCGGAAAAGGUGUUAGGCGCAAAUGACGGAAAUGAAUUUUCAAUAAACGAAUAUUCCAAGUGUCCUAGGGGUAGGAAAUACGAGGAAGAAAGGUGUAUCAUCUCGAUCACGAGACGCAACCCUGACAAAGAGACGAAUAAUAAAAGGAGACAAAGAGUUACGACUCGGAUGCGUGGAAAAAUAAUUAAAAAGGGCCCCCGUGCUCGAUCGGACUGCAGCAGCUCGUAUAAAUUGAAACUGGUUUCAACCGACCGACGGUGGUUCAAUCUGGUGACACAUGGCGAUGGGAUGGAAUCGGCACCCAUUCUUCUUUACAAUAUUUUACGACCACAUCACAUUCCCUCUCCUUGAUCCGAGCGAAUCUCUCAAAUUUUCAAGAGAGCAAAAUGUCCCUUUGUCUUAUUCUAUUUUUAGGAAUUCACGAUAAUUCUAUAUAACAAUUGUGCGUGCUUUUAUCACAUAAAAUCAAUUUAAUCGUUUUAAUAUUUUAUUAUUAACACAAUUUUCAUAUUCGAUUUGACAUAAAUAUAAUGAUCGUAUUAAUACUCUCGCCUUAAACGGUACAAAUGAUGCAACAUUAUAAAACGACAUAUAAAUGUUAGAUUUUAUUGUAUAAAUAAUAAGUAGUAGUUGCGCCUUUUGUGCGGUCACAUCGCAUUAAAAUUUCUGAUAGGCCUCGCGAUGAGAACUGCUUAUUGUACUUUGAACGGCAUACCGUUUUUAUUCUAAAUUCGCAUAGAAAAACUAUAUUAAGGAAAUACGUAAGUACAAUGACAUUGUAACGACUAUUUAUGGAAGACGAUUAUAUAAAUUCAAUAAAAUACACGCGAGUAUUAUAUGCGAAUUAGAUUUUUCUAUGCGGAAACCUAUAUAAAAACAAAAAAAAAAA